CCUUUUUUUCUAGUCUGGGAUUGGAUGAUGGAACACUAUGGCGACCGAGUGUGGGUGGAGCUCUAUCCUAUCAGAGACCUACUCAAAAGAAACUGGUUUUGGAUCAGAUGGGUCCUCAGAAUGAGGAAACUCAUUGUUCGUGAAAUCAGCACGACUACUGAAUUCAAACAGGGCAGGACAAAGGAAACAAGAGGAGCUGAUGGCAAUGUGUGAGAAGAACUGCUGUGUGCUACAGUGCACAUAAAGUAAGCCCAGUGAGGGACCAGACCACUUGUGUCUUCGUUAGGUUUGCUGCUCUUAAUCUUCUUAAUGCUGCUGUUC